rnacentral:rRNA from 1 species
CGAAGCAACGCGAAGAACCUUACCUAAGCUUGACAUCCCAAUGACAUCUCCUUAAUCGGAGAGUUCCCUUCGGGGACAUUGGUGACAGGUGGUGCAUGGUUGUCGUCAGCUCGUGUCGUGAGAUGUUGGGUUAAGUCCCGCAACGAGCGCAACCCUUGUCUUUAGUUGCCAUCAUUAAGUUGGGCACUCUAGAGAGACUGCCAGGGAUAACCUGGAGGAAGGUGGGGAUGACGUCAAAUCAUCAUGCCCCUUAUGCUUAGGGCUACACACGUGCUACAAUGGGUAGUACAGAGGGUUGCCAAGCCGUAAGGUGGAGCUAAUCCCUUAAAGCUACUCUCAGUUCGGAUUGUAGGCUGAAACUCGCCUACAUGAAGCUGGAGUUACUAGUAAUCGCAGAUCAGAAUGCUGCGGUGAAUGCGUUCCCGGGUCUUGUACACACCGCAGCUCACACCGCGUGUGAUGGAGAGGCACGCAGCCGGUUAUCUCACCAGUUGGAAGAAGUCGUCGAAGGUGGACUCAAUACCUGCAGUGAAGUCGUAACAAGGUAGCCGUAUCGGAAGGUGCGGCUGGAUCAGCACCUUUCUAAGGA